CAUCAAAUGAUUGCUGGAAAAAGUCUGAAAAAGGAAAGAAAAGAAAAGAAAAUUACUUCCUCUCUUCACUCCAAGUCUUUGUUUCAGAUCUCUGAACCUGUGAACUUCUCAAAGGAUUCUCCACCAUGAUUCCUUCUGGAUAUUGUUGUUGGAGUAGCUUCAGAAAUCAUGUAUUAUGAAGGGGUUUCAUGUAAAGUCCACUUGUAAUCAUCUGAUUAAGUGCAUUUGAUUUUUUGCCUUAACA